rnacentral:snRNA from 1 species
AGUCUCUUUGAGAAAGUACGAUUAAAUUGGAAUGAUACAAAGAAGAUUAGCAUACGCCCCCAAUGCAAGGAUAACGAGCAUUAAUUCAAGAAUUGUCAUGCUUCG